rnacentral:misc_RNA from 1 species
CAGCUACCGCGAUUGGAACAUGUCUUACUCACCUGAAAGAAGAUCAGAAGAUUGGCCGGAGGAUGCCAAAAAUGGGCCAAAGGAUCAAGGAAAUUAUGAUGGUCCUCCAGGCAUGGAACCUGAUGGAGCACUUGAUACUAACUGGCAUCAGGUCGUCGAGAGUUUCGACGAUAUGAAUUUGAAGGAGGAGUUAUUGAGAGGGAUAUAUGCUUAUGGUUUUGAAAAGCCGUCGGCAAUCCAACAACGCGCCAUUAUGCCUUGCAUUCAAGGUCGCGAUGUUAUCGCCCAAGCCCAGUCCGGUACUGGCAAAACUGCUACCUUUUCUAUUUCAAUCCUUCAGCAAAUUGACACUAGUAUUCGAGAAUGCCAGGCCUUAAUUUUGGCCCCAACCAGAGAAUUGGCUCAACAAAUCCAGAAGGUGGUGAUUGCUCUGGGUGAUCAUUUGAAUGCUAAAUGCCAUGCUUGCAUUGGUGGAACCAAUGUUCGUGAAGAUAUCCGUCAAUUGGAGAGUGGUGUACAUGUUGUGGUCGGCACUCCUGGCCGUGUUUAUGAUAUGAUCACCCGUCGUGCCCUGCGUGCUAAUACUAUAAAAUUAUUUGUUCUUGAUGAAGCAGAUGAAAUGUUGUCUAGAGGAUUCAAAGACCAAAUUCAUGAUGUAUUCAAGAUGUUGUCUGCUGAUGUGCAAGUGAUUUUACUGUCUGCUACCAUGCCUGAUGAUGUGUUAGAAGUUUCCCGAUGCUUCAUGAGAGAUCCAGUCCGCAUUUUAGUGCAAAAAGAAGAGCUUACCUUGGAAGGUAUCAAACAAUUUUUCAUCGCAAUUGAAAUGGAAGAGUGGAAGUUAGAAACACUUUGUGAUCUGUAUGACACCCUCUCUAUUGCUCAGGCUGUAAUUUUCUGCAAUACGCGUCGUAAGGUGGACUGGCUCACUGAGUCUAUGCAUGAGCGUGACUUUACCGUGUCUGCCAUGCACGGUGACAUGGAUCAACGUGAACGUGAAGUUAUCAUGAGGCAGUUCCGUACUGGAUCUUCUCGUGUGCUGAUUACAACUGAUCUGUUGGCCCGGGGUAUUGAUGUGCAACAAGUGUCCUGCGUUAUCAAUUAUGAUCUGCCAACUAAUCGCGAAAAUUAUAUCCAUAGAAUUGGAAGAGGUGGUCGUUUCGGCCGUAAGGGAAUUGCCAUUAACUUUGUGACUGAAGCUGAUAAGAGAGCAUUGAAAGACAUUGAGGACUUCUAUCAUACAACUAUUACAGAAAUGCCUAGUGACGUGGCUAAUCUCAUUUAAGGUGUCAACACUCUCUCCGUUUAUAAUUUGUGUCCUACCUUUUAUUGAAAAAAUUAUAAGGUAUCUACCUACUGAGCCUGUUGAAACGCACUAUGGACACAACUAUGUGGAAAUAAUAAAUCAAAAUUUCCUCAAUAACUAUUUACUUUCUUUUGACAGGUCCUCAUUUGUAUCCUGUAUUUCCUAUAUUGCUUUUGCAUACUUUUGAAAUUUCUUUUCUACAUGGUUUAUAUGUUCAUUUCGAAUUUAUUUAUAUUUUUUGAAUAAAUUUUGUUCGAAAUAUUAGUGACUUUUACGAAGUUGAUAAUUAAGGUUCCUAUUUAUUAUGAUUAUAUUAAAUAAAUUAGAACUCGUACAUAAUAUAACUACAGCAUUCAGUAAAUAUAACUAAGUGUAAUCUCGAAGAGUUGUUAUUAAAAUUACAACAUUAUAUCACUAUGUAUACUUUUGA